GUCUCCGUUGGUGAACCAGCGGAGGGAUCAUUACCGAGUUUACAACUCCCAAACCCCUGUGAACAUACCUUAUGUUGCCUCGGCGGAUCAGCCCGCGCCCCGUAAAACGGGACGGCCCGCCGCAGGAACCCCAAAACUCUGUUUUUAGUGGAACUUCUGAGUAAAAAAACAAAUAAAUCAAAACUUUCAACAACGGAUCUCUUGGUUCUGGCAUCGAUGAAGAACGCAGCAAAAUGCGAUAAGUAAUGUGAAUUGCAGAAUUCAGUGAAUCAUCGAAUCUUUGAACGCACAUUGCGCCCGCCAGUAUUCUGGCGGGCAUGCCUGUUCGAGCGUCAUUUCAACCCUCAAACCCCCGGGUUUGGUGUUGGGGAUCGGGCUUUUGCUUCGGCAGCCCGGCCCCGAAAUCUAGUGGCGGUCUCGCUGCAGCCUCCAUUGCGUAGUAGCUAACACCUCGCAACUGGAACGCGGCGCGGCCAAGCCGUUAAACCCCCAACUUCUGAAUGUUGACCUCGGAUCAGGUAGGAAUACCCGCUGAACUUAAGCAUAUCAAUAAGCGGAGGAAAAGAAACCAA
rnacentral:rRNA from 1 species